GGAUUGCCUUAGUAACGGCGAGUGAAGCGGCAUAAGCUCAAAUUUGAAAUCUGCCUUUUGGCCGAGUUGUAAUUUGAAGAGGAUCGUUUAGCUGAUGUGUGGGUCCAAGUUUUCUGGAAAGAAGCACCACAGAGGGUGAGAGUCCCGUCCGAUCUAUAACUGAAGCUAUGUAAACGUCCUUCGAAGAGUCGAGUUGUUUGGGAAUGCAGCUCUAAGUGGGUGGUAAAUUCCAUCUAAAGCUAAAUAUUGGCCAGAGACCGAUAGCGCACAAGUAGAGUGAUCGAAAGAUGAAAAGCACUUUGAAAAGAGAGUGAAAAAGUACGUGAAAUUGUUGAAAGGGAACCGCUUGCAAUCAGACUUGUUUUAGAGAUUCAGCUGCUUUUUAAGUAGUGUAUUUCUCUGUAUCAUGCCAGUAUCAGUUAAGGCGACUGGAUAAAAGUAGUAGAAAUGUGACUCUUCUCGGAGAGUGUUAUAGUCUGCUACAUAAUACAGCCUGCCCUGACUGAGGUCUUAGAUAUUGGCGUAAUGGUUGCUAGCGACUCGUCUUGAAACACGAACCAAGGAGUCUAACAUCUAUGCGAGUUUUUGGGUGGUAAACCCUAAAGCGCAAUGAAAGUGAAUGGAGGUGAGACCUUCGGGGCAUCAUCGACCGAUCUGGACGUUUUCUGAAGGAUUUGAGUAAGAGCAUAGCUGUUGGGACCCGAAAGAUGGUGAACUAUGCGUGAAUAGAAUGAAGUCAGAGGAAACUCUGAUGGAAGUUCGCAGCGGUUCUGACGUGCAAAUCGAUCGUCAAAUUUGCGUAUAGGGG
rnacentral:rRNA from 1 species